rnacentral:rRNA from 1 species
GUGUUCAGUGAAAUCGAGUAGGGCGGGACACGUGAUAUCCUGUCUGAAUAUGGGGGGACCAUCCUCCAAGGCUAAAUACUACUGACUGACCGAUAGUGAACCAGUACCGUGAGGGAAAGGCGAAAAGAACCCCUGUGAGGGGAGUGAAAUAGAACCUGAAACCGUGUACGUACAAGCAGUAGGAGCAGGCUUUGUCCUGUGACUGCGUACCUUUUGUAUAAUGGGUCAGCGACUUAUAUUCAGUGGCAAGGUUAACCAUCUAGGGGAGCCGUAGGGAAACCGAGUCUUAACUGGGCGUUCAGUCUCUGGAUAUAGACCCGAAACCAGGUGAUCUAGCCAUGGGCAGGUUGAAGGUUGAGUAACAUCAACUGGAGGACCGAACCGACUAAUGUUGAAAAAUUAGCGGAUGACUUGUGGCUAGGGGUGAAAGGCCAAUCAAACCUGGAGAUAGCUGGUUCUCCCCGAAAGCUAUUUAGGUAGCGCCUCGGACGAAUACUACUGGGGGUAGAGCACUGUUAAGGCUAGGGGGUCAUCCCGACUUACCAACCCUUUGCAAACUCCGAAUACCAGUAAGUACUAUCCGGGAGACACACGGCGGGUGCUAACGUCCGUCGUGGAGAGGGAAACAACCCAGACCGCCAGCUAAGGUCCCAAAUUACUACUAAGUGGGAAACGAUGUGGGAAGGCUCAGACAGCCAGGAUGUUGGCUUAGAAGCAGCCAUCAUUUAAAGAAAGCGUAAUAGCUCACUGGUCGAGUCGGCCUGCGCGGAAGAUGUAACGGGGCUAAGUAGUAAACCGAAGCUGCGGCAAUGUGCUUUUGCACAUUGGGUAGGGGAGCGUUCUGUAAGCGGUUGAAGGUGUGUGGUAACGCAUGCUGGACGUAUCAGAAGUGCGAAUGCUGACAUGAGUAACGAUAAAGGGGGUGAAAAACCUCCUCGCCGGAAGACCAAGGGUUCCUGUCCAACGUUAAUCGGGGCAGGGUAAGUCGACCCCUAAGGCGAGGCCGAAAGGCGUAGUCGAUGGGAAACGGGUUAAUAUUCCCGUACUUCUUACAAUUGCGAUGGGGGGACGGAGAAGGCUAGGUGGGCCUGGCGACGGUUGUCCAGGUUCAAGUGCGUAGGCUUAAGAGUUAGGUAAAUCCGGCUCUUUUUAAGGCUGAGACACGACGUCGAGCAUCUACGGAUGUGAAGUCAUUGAUGCCAUGCUUCCAGGAAAAGCCUCUAAGCUUCAGAUUGUAAGGAAUCGUACCCCAAACCGACACAGGUGGUCGGGUAGAGAAUACCAAGGCGCUUGAGAGAACUCGGGUGAAGGAACUAGGCAAAAUGGUACCGUAACUUCGGGAGAAGGUACGCUCUCGACGGUGAAGUCCCUCGCGGAUGGAGCUAUUGAGAGUCGCAGAUACCAGGUGGCUGCAACUGUUUAUUAAAAACACAGCACUGUGCAAAAUCGUAAGAUGACGUAUACGGUGUGACGCCUGCCCGGUGCCGGAAGGUUAAUUGAUGGGGUUAGACUUCGGUCGAAGCUCUUGAUCGAAGCCCCGGUAAACGGCGGCCGUAACUAUAACGGUCCUAAGGUAGCGAAAUUCCUUGUCGGGUAAGUUCCGACCUGCACGAAUGGCGUAAUGAUGGCCACGCUGUCUCCACCCGAGACUCAGUGAAAUUGAAAUCGCUGUGAAGAUGCAGUGUACCCGCGGCUAGACGGAAAGACCCCGUGAACCUUUACUACAGCUUGGCACUGAACAUUGACCCUACAUGUGUAGGAUAGGUGGGAGGCUUUGAAGCACGUACGCCAGUAUGUGUGGAGCCGUCCUUGAAAUACCACCCUUGUAGUGUUGAUGUUCUAACGUCGACCCCUUAUCGGGGUUGCGGACAGUGCCUGGUGGGUAGUUUGACUGGGGCGGUCUCCUCCCAAAGAGUAACGGAGGAGCACGAAGGUGGGCUAAUCACGGUUGGACAUCGUGAGGUUAGUGCAAUGGCAUAAGCCCGCUUGACUGCGAGAAUGACAAUUCGAGCAGGUGCGAAAGCAGGUCAUAGUGAUCCGGUGGUUCUGAAUGGAAGGGCCAUCGCUCAACGGAUAAAAGGUACUCCGGGGAUAACAGGCUGAUACCGCCCAAGAGUUCAUAUCGACGGCGGUGUUUGGCACCUCGAUGUCGGCUCAUCACAUCCUGGGGCUGAAGUCGGUCCCAAGGGUAUGGCUGUUCGCCAUUUAAAGUGGUACGCGAGCUGGGUUUAGAACGUCGUGAGACAGUUCGGUCCCUAUCUGCCGUGGGCGUUGGAAGAUUGAAGGGGGCUGCUCCUAGUACGAGAGGACCGGAGUGGACGAACCUCUGGUGUUCGGGUUGUGUCGCCAGACGCAUUGCCCGGUAGCUAAGUUCGGAAUCGAUAACCGCUGAAAGCAUCUAAGCGGGAAGCGAGCCCUGAGAUGAGUCUUCCCUGAUACUUUAAGUAUCCUAAAGGGUUGUCGGAGACUACGACGUUGAUAGGUCAGGUGUGUAAGUGCUGUGAGGCAUUGAGCUAACUGAUACUAAUUGCCCGUGAGGCUUAACCAUACAACACCCAAGGGGUUU